ensembl:lncRNA
GUUAGAAUGUUACCUCAUUUAAGAAUUUCUUACAUUUUGAAGGCGAGUUAUGUUUGAACUCUGUGCUAUCUUCCUUUUCAGUCUUGAAUGUUUCAACGUCUCUUCUCUUGAGUGAGAUCAACUCCUCUGCCAAAGACCUCAGCAGGUCAUCUGUGAGAGGUCCAUCACCAACCUCCUCUAAAAGCCUCUGGUACAAAGGUGACGCCGUUCCGUCACUUGUCCAGAUGUGCUCUGCUGGACAGUUCCACAAGCAGAGAUUACAAGGACAUGGCAUUUAUUCUCUGGAGAAGAACUGUCUGCGCUAAGAUUCUCAUAAACUGGAGUUGCAAACAUUUCGUAGAUUGCUGGACCUUCAUCUCCCUGACUGAGCUUCAGAAACAUGUCUUUGUCCUUCAGAGAAAGUGCAGCAGUUCAUACUUGGAGACUUUCUCUGAAAAUCAGAGUUUUCUGUUGUUUUGAAAGACUUGCAUCUUAUUUCAUUCUUGACGACUUUCCUAACAGUCAAUGAUUUGGUCCCCAGUUCCAGAUUGAGUGACUUCUCUAAGAUCCUUUCCACUCUUCGUCUGGACUGUGAUGAGAUGGGCAAGAUGCUACUUUGUUUUAAGAGAAGUGGGUGCUCAAGACUUGAACAUGCAGAGCCAUCCUUAUAUAUAUUGUCCAGCGGAGCAAGAUGUUUGGGUGUCUUUGAACAUAGAGUAGGUAGUGUCUGGAAAUCACAGCACAGCAAUCAAAAUGGUAUUAAAGGCAAGACUUUUUGCAUUUAUUAAAAGCAUUUCCUCACCUUUUGUCUGUUAUCGUCAUCCCCUGUGUGAGCACCUCUAAGCCCUGUAGUUAAUUGAAAACUUUUAUUAUAAGAUUUUCUUUCUUAUAACCUCUUCACCAAUUCUUUUUUCAUUACAAUCAAAGUUGCACACACACACUAAAACUUAAAUAUAGAGUUGCCAAUAGUUACGUUAAGCGAAUGUGUCCUCAAUUUUGGUGACUCCGCAGCCACAAAUGUAGGCAACCUAUGUUUGUUUGAAAACUAUCCCUUGAGCAUCCCAUAAUCCUCUUUCUCAUGGAUUGUACAAAGUAUUAGUGAAGGUCUCUUUUAAUGCUUAGUCUUCUGAUGACAAUAUACCCUAAGCUCCUUCAUUCAUUCUCAGACUGAUCUGGUGAGAAUCUGUCCACAAACAAACAUGUCUGUUGGCAUUGGUCAGCAUCUAUCGGUGCAGUGUGAAAUAGCCUUAACUAGUGAACCCACUUACAUUUUGGCUGACUGUGCUCAUUUAUUCGCUGAAAUCUGUCAAACCACAUUAUGCUUCACAAUGUAUCUAAUAAUCAGUGUCUGUAUUUUGUUUUAAUGCAAUUCUUUCACAAUAAAC